UCGAAGACGCUCGCGCGUUCAGCAAAAGACUUUGCGAAGAAGCAGCAAGCGUUUCGGGCCAC
rnacentral:tRNA from 1 species